GACAGUCGCGGCUGCAGGCCGAAAGGCCGCGGAUGAGGAAAGUCCGGGCUCCAUAGGGCAGGGAUAACGGGUAACGCCCGCCGAGGGUGACCUCAGGACAAGUGCAACAGAGAUAUACUACUGCGCAGGCAGGAAAGGUGAAAAGGCAGGCUCGCAGCCUGCCCGGCCCAUGGUAACAUGGGUUCUACGAUGUAAACUCUAUCCCGGAGCAACGCCGUGGAGGGACAACAGGCUGACCCGGCCGUCCCGAGGAGGCGGCUUGAUCCUGCGGGCAACUGCAGGGCUAGAUAGAUGGCUGUCAAGACAGAACCCGGCUU
rnacentral:RNase_P_RNA from 1 species